AGAGUUUGAUCAUGGCUCAGAAUCAACGCUGGCGGCGCGCUUAACACAUGCAAGUCGCACGAGAAAGGGAGCAAUCCUAAGUAAAGUGGCGCACGGGUGAGUAACACGUGGAUCAUCUACCUUUUAGUGGGGAAUACCUCUGGGAAACCGGAGACAAUACCGCAUAAGCCCGCAAGGGGAAAGCAGCAAUGCGCUGAAAGAGGAGUCCGCGGCCGAUUAGCUAGUUGGCGGGGUAACGGCCCACCAAGGCGAAGAUCGGUAGCCGGCCUGAGAGGGCACACGGCCACACUGGCACUGAAACACGGGCCAGACUCCUACGGGAGGCAGCAGUGGGGAAUCUUGCACAAUGGGCGAAAGCCUGAUGCAGCGACGCCGCGUGAGCGAUGAAGCCCUUCGGGGUGUAAAGCUCUUUCGACGGGAACGAUAAUGACGGUACCCGGAGAAGAAGCUGCGGCUAACUACGUGCCAGCAGCCGCGGUAAUACGUAGGCAGCGAGCGUUGUUCGGAAUUACUGGGCGUAAAGAGUGGUAGGCGGUGUUCCCAGUCUGUUGUGAAAUCUCCCGGCUUAACUGGGAGGGUGCAGCGGAAACUAGAAUGCUAGAGGGUGGGAGAGGUAAGCGGAAUUCCUGGUGUAGCGGUGAAAUGCGUAGAUAUCAGGAGGAACACCUGUGGUGUAGACAGCUUCUGGACCACUUCUGACGCUGAGACACGAAAGCGUGGGUAGCAAACAGGAUUAGAUACCCNNGUAGUCC
rnacentral:rRNA from 1 species